GUGCUCACUUUGACAGCACAUACGAAGACUAAAAUUGGAACGAUACAAAGAUUAGCAUGGCCCCUGCACAAAGAUGACAUUCAAUUAGUGAAGCAUUCUGUUUUUUA